rnacentral:lncRNA from 1 species
CAAUGACACCUAGCGGUAUGUAGUGGCAAUCUAAUAAAACUAAAAUGAACCUCUAGGUAUAGUUAACGUGUGAUUCAGUCCCUCUAUCAUGAGUCCUGACUAGAUGGUAGGUCAUAGAUAAAUCAUCAAACCUCAUCAUUAGUCAUAUGAUAGAUUCAAUUAGCUCAAGUCCAAUUGUCACUUCUAUGAAAACUUCUUUUCAUCAAUCACACUGCUGUGACCACAGACUCUUGGACUUAAUCUCUUAAAUCUCAUAGAACUACUCUUCUCUAUCAAGGUCA